GCACUGGUCUUUCAGUGGUAGAAUUCUCACUUUCCAUGGAAGAGACCCAGGUUCAAUUCCUGGCCAAUGAG
rnacentral:tRNA from 1 species